rnacentral:tRNA from 1 species
GUUAAGGUGGCAGAGCCCGGUAAUUGCAAAAGACCUAAGUCCUUUCCACAGGGGUUCAAAUCCCCUCCCUAACU